rnacentral:tRNA from 1 species
CCUGGUUUGGCUCAGUGGAUAGAGCGUCAGCUUUCGGACUGAAGGGUCCCGGGUUCGAUUCCGAUUCAGGG